GUCGGUAUCGAUUAGGGGUUAAAUCACCUCGUUGUGGUGUGCUGACUCCCUGAGGUAUAACGGUACUCCGAGGAGCCACUGGUUCGAUUCCAGUUACCGACA